UAUGCUUAACACAUGCAAGUCGAACGGACUCUUCGGAGUUAGUGGCGGACGGGUGAGUAACGCGUGAGAAUCUGGCUUCUGGUUCGGGAUAACAGUGGGAAACGACUGCUAAUACCGGAUGUGCCUGCGGGUAAAAGGCUCGCUGCCAAAAGAUGAGCUCGCGUCUGAUUAGCUAGUUGGUGGGGUAAGAGCCUACCAAGGCGACGAUCAGUAGCUGGUCUGAGAGGAUGAUCAGCCACACUGGGACUGAGACGCGGCCCACACUCCUACGGGAGGCAGCAGUGGGGUAUUUUCCGCAAUGGGCGAAAGCCUGACGGAGCAAUACCGCGUGAGAGAAGAAGGCUCUUGGGUUGUACACCUCUUUUCUCAGGGAAUAAGAAAGUGAAGGUACCUGAGGAAUCAGCAUCGGCUAACUCCGUGCCAGCAGCCGCGGUAAUACGGAGGAUGCAAGCGUUAUCCGGAAUGAUUGGGCGUAA
rnacentral:rRNA from 1 species